rnacentral:lncRNA from 1 species
GGUGAUGAAUCCCAAAAGACUAAGGCGAAGGUGAUGGACACACAGGAAGAGAAGGAGACUGAUAAGAUGAAGGAUGAAAAGCCCACCGACUCGCAUCACAAGAGGAAGAGGGUGAAGAAAGUCAUCUACUAUGAGACAUACUCAUCCUCAUCGCCAUCUACAUCAAGUAGAGGUGAGUCCUCCAAACGUCAUCAUCAACACAAGAGGAUUAAAUCUAAUUUUAAUCGCAUUGCAUUUAACUAUUACCGCAUUCCUAGAAAUUUGCAUGCCUAAUUACUGGUUGUCCGACUUGGUAAACUACCUCACUUUGAUGGCCUGGAUUAUUCAUGGUGGAUUCAUAAAAUGAAGAGUCAUAUAUACUCACUGUACCCAAGUAAUUGGGACAUUAUUGAAAUAGGAUUGGAGAUACCUGACGUCGACGACGAGAACUACAAUCCUAUGGAGGUGGAGGAAAUCGUAUACUGCAACUCCCAAGCCACCAUGAUAGUACUUGCUUCUCUAUACAGGGAAGAAUACAAUAAGGUGAAUGGCUUGAAAAGUGCCAAAGAUAAAUGGGACAAUCUAAAGACAGUGCAUGAAGGUGACAAAAUUACAAAGAUCACCAAAAGGGAGCUCCUAGAGCGAGAGCUCAAGAGAUUCACCUUGCUUAAGAGAGAAGAAAUGGAAGAGAUGUACAAUCGCCUUAAUAUCCUAGUGAAUCAAGUCCGCGACUUUGGGGGCAAGAAGUGGUCUGAUCAUGAAGUGGUAAAACUUAUGUUAAGAUCAUUUACUUAUCGAGAAUCCCAAGGACAAGAAAAUGACUCCUGAAGAAGUAUUUGGAAAAUUACUUAACCAUGAGAUAAUGUUUAGGAACUCCAAGUACAUAGAAGACUUGGUGCAAGAGAACGUCUCCACCAAAGAACCAUAUAUCAUUGCCUUGAAAGCAACGAAUCAGAACGUGGUGACCCCAAGUAAGGUGGCGCAAGUUGAGGCGACUGGCCUCAACAAUGAGGAGAUGGAGCUUGUCAUCAAGAUGUUUAAGCAAUCGUUGAAAGGCCACAAGAACAAUGACAACAUACCAAGGAGAAGUGUGCAUGCUUGAAGUGUCGUAAGACAAGAGAUGGCAAUGGGGACCUGAUCCCCGAUUCCGUGCGGGGAAUUCCUCUAUUAGGGGAUGGGGAAGUUUCUUCCCCCACGGGGAUGUAAACGGGGAAAGAUUCUCCCCCGACGGGUAAACGGGGACGAGGAUGGGGAAGCAUUCCACAUCCCCGUUCCCCGCGAGGACCCGUUAAACUUACAUGUGACGAUGUUUUCAUGUAAUAGUUAAUGAUAAAAUAAAUAAUUACCUUGUCAAGAGAUCACCUGUUGUCACACCCGGAUUUAAUGAACAAAGUCGGGUGCAUCUCAUACAUGCGCCAAAGAAGACAACAUAUAUAAUAACAAAGUGUAUAGAGAUAAAUGUCACAAUAACAUCAGAGUAUUUAUUACAUAGCGGAAGUCUUACAAAAAUAAAAGAUAAAUAUAAAACGAACUAAAUACAUCCUUGGUGCCAUUAAGUCAACUGGGAGACGCCACCUAGAUCAGAUCAAACUCCUCGUUGUGUGGCUCCUCCUGAACCACCUGUUCUUCUCCUGUGGGGGGGGUGUGAGACAGCAAGGGUGAGCUCACACAUGAUCAUAGCUCAACAAGUUGUGGGGAAACCAGUGUGCAUGAACUCACCAAAGGUGGGAGUUCAUAUGAAGUGUAAGGCUGAUCAACAAUAGGGGUUAAAGCUGACCGUUGCUUUUAAUAAGUUGGUCAAAUUUUAUUAGCAGUUACUAAAUGUAAGUAAAUAUCAAACCAUAAUAAGAAUAAUAGAACAAAAUUAAUAAAUAAUCCCAUGCAAUGCAUAUGACAAAUUGAAUUUAAGUUCCAUAAAUUAAUCAUGCGAGAGUCCUGAGCUGCUCAUGACCGCGAGCACGGCUAGUAUACCAGUUUUACACUCUGCAGAGGUUGUACCCUGUACCGACAAGUCAUGUUACCCAUCUGCCAAUGGAUCGCUACUCCCAUACACCUCUACCAAGGAAGCGAGGUAGGGCAACACUACGAGGCCUUUACAAAGUUCCACUAGCUUCUAAAAACCCGCUACAGUUUAUGGGAAGAGCACUUGCAAGAAUCCCUCGUCUGACCGCCAUCGCAGCAAAAUCAACCCGAGAACUUCCCUGCAUGCAACUCCCCUACUACCCUUGCCUCUUUCGAGUAAGAGUCUUCCACUAGCUUUCCUAAUUAGUUAGCCAAGGGGUCUCAUUCCUCCCUUGUGGUGGCACGUGUUUCUCAAGUUAAGCUCCAUGUUCCAAUUAACAUUAAUGAUCUUGACAUGAACAUAAGUAAAAUAACAAAAUAAUUGGAACAUGGAUAUAAUGAAAUAUUACCCAAAACCAUGUAAAGCAAUAGUAUGACUACCCAAAUGAUUCAGGGGUAAACAAGGUAAAAUGGAUAAACAGACUAGGGUGACCUAUUGGGUUCCAUCAAAAUUAAACCUAUCAUGAAUAAUGACAUUAAAGAACCUUAUUGGGUAUAAAAGUGGUCAAGACACAACUUGCCUUCAAUGAGCUCCUACUCAGCAACUUCUAUCUGCUGGGCUCUAGGAUCCUCAGUCACAGGCUCUUCUACUCGCCACAAUACAAACAAACACAAUAUAAAGAAGAAAUUAACAUCACACCAAACAUGUAAACAAAGUACAUAAUAAUAAUCUACACAUUAAAAUAAGAUCAUAGAAACAUGAAUCAUUAUUAUUGGAGUUGUAGAUUUUACACUAUGAAUUUCCAAAGGUUUUAUGUGCUUGAUAUAUGAUUAAGUGAGAAAUUAGUUUUAUUACUAUUUUCAUGUCAAAACAGAGACUCUACAUGAUAAACAAUAAUAUUAUAAAAUUUUGGAAACUGGAAUGGGUUAAUUUGGAUUUCAUAUGAAUUUUCUAUGAAUUUAGCAAGUUUCUGAAAUUGUUUUUGUCUUAAAAAUCAAUUUCCAUACUUAUUUCUCUAAUUCUUUCUGAUUUCUGGAUUGGGCGCUCAAUUCUGGGAAACACGGGGACUGAUCUACAAAUAUUCCCUAGACUCAGAACUGCAUCUGCAUGGACGGUAGGUUGAUAACACAAAACCCCAGGGACUCUUACGAAAAUCUGCCAGGGCGAAAGGGUACGCGCAUAUUCAGCCGUCCGAUCACGGAUCGGUGGCCGGGAUUAAAUCACGAUCUCAACGAAUGGUCUAGGCUACGCCCACUGUGGGAUCUAAAUCAGACGCCACUGAUUUUAUGAAUUCUGAUCAAAUUAUGUCCCUUUGAUCCUUCUCCAACGGUCUAGAUUCAAUGCCCCAAGGGUUAUAUCAGGUUCUAAUUGUGGCUGUUGACGCUCCAUCCAACGGUCCCCGCACGCCCUACACUUCCCGAUGCCGGAGCAAGGCGGCGCAACAGCCCCACACAACGGCGUCAUGGUCGGCUUAAGCGCGCCCGUCGAUUCCUUCGGUCAUCCCCAAAUCCGACCCCAAGUACACGGAGAGAAGGACAUUGCGAAAUGAUAGGGGGUGUGCUCACCGAGGUUAGUGUCGACGGCGCAGUGGUACACGACGAAGGGUGUAUUCACGGCGGCGUGGCAACAACAGUGAGCAAUUCGCAGGCAUUGGCGCACGAAUCGCCCCAGGCAACUUGUUAGCCACGCACCACAGUACCAGGCGAAUCCAGGGGAGCACCCACCAAGAGCCACACAGUGUUGAGCUCAAGGUUCCCCUUGCGGCGGCGAUCUACGAAGCCCAUGGUUUCGCCCUAACAGCUCUCUCUCUCUCUCUCUCUUGGCCGGCUCUAGUGUGUGGGGUAAAAGAUGAGGCGAAGACCCGUGAGGCGUCCAGGGGGUCUUAUCCUCAGGUCAAGGCGGACCUCAACAGAAUCCCGGAGCUCACGGAUGGCGUGCGGCAUGCAUGGUGUUGGAACUUGCUCUCAGCAGCAAGGAGGCCAACAAGGGUGAACGGUGGUGACAACAGGGUUACGUGCUCGGGGGCAAUAGCUCUGUUGAUCUAGCCUCUCACGGGCACUGUGCGGGGGUAUUUAUAGGUAUCUGAGUGCCCAGCGCCUUGUGUUAAGGACGCAUGUGCCCUCAGACACCUAGUUUAUCCCCAGAAUAUUCCCAUAAAGCAGGGUUACAAGCUGUAAUUACAAGAAUGCCUUUACAAACUAGGCCCGUAACACAAAGGCGGCCACGCGGGGCCCGUUACAAUGGGCCAGAUCACACGUGGGCCUCAGAGCAGGACGAGGCCGCGCUGCGGGGAGACGUCACCGCAGGCCUUCGUCUGGUGCUGAAUGAAGCAAAGGGUGUCCCUGCCCGUUUUGUCUCUGUCAGACCAGCGACUGCAGCGAAAGGCGAUGAGCGAAGGGUGGCGUCUUUGCCUUCGCCCCAACAUUUGCCCUCCGAGGGACCAGUUCGACAAAGUCACCUGGUGCCGAAGACGUCGCUAGAUGGCGGAGACGCUGCCCUCGCUCGAAGUGGUUCCGCGGGGGUUUUCGAUGUGACCGUUGAUGGACGGCGUACUGUUGGAUUGCGGGUUUCCCGAAGCGCCGCGCCCUGUCGGAUUGCGGGUUUCCCGAAGAGCCGCGCCCUGCCUAUAAAAGGGGGCGGGGGUCGGUGCUUUUUGAACUUUGCCUUCCGCGCUCCGCGAAAACCCUAGCCGCCCGCCGUCUUGCUGCUCGUCUGCCCGCCGUGCUCUUGAUCGCCGGAGACCUGGCUCGAGUGAAGCAGACCGCCCGCCGCCGCCGACGGUACAUAGCAAUGUCGUCCUCUUCUUCUUCCGCCGACACCACGCCGCCGGCGGCCGCCUCGUCUGAGGAGACGUUGAGUAGCUUGAUGGUGGAGGAGUUGCGCGCCGGCGACUCUGUUGAUUUUGGUGUGUCACGGAUGACGUCAGCCCGCGUUGAAGAUAUGCAGCGGUUGGGCUACUUUGGCGGCGGAGUUGCUUGUGCUCCGGGGACGGAGGAAGUCCCCGAGCCGGAGGGUGAGUUGGUCGUUUUCGAGGCGUUCUUCGCCGCCGGUCUCCGCUUGCCUGCGCACCGGUUUGUUGGCGAAGUCCUGCGUAGAUUCAACGUUCAAAUACAUCAGCUGACACCGAAUGCCAUGGUGGCGCUGGCGAAGUAUGUCUGGGCGACGACUUCGUACGGCGGACAGCCGUCGGUUGAAGUUUUUGCGAAGAAUUAUUGUUUGCAUUGGCAGAAGAGGAUGGUUGGGGAUGGAGUUGCCCAAUUCGGGUCAUGCACAUUCACGCCGAAGACCGGCAAGACCACAAUGCCAGUAGUGGAGUUGGUUCCGUGCGCCCGCAACAAGUGGGGCAAUUGGAAUGAAUUUUGGUUUUACGUUGCUGAGGGUGCUGUCGAAGACCAUGAGGGACUCCUUUGUGCGUGAUGCGGAGGACUUGGCGGUGCGGCUCGUGGGACGUUACGUGCCGAGGACGGAAGGCCAGCGCAGCUUUGAUAUCCGCGGGUCAAAUGACCGUUUGAACAGGGUCUUCGAAUUAAAUCAAUUGCCGUACGACGGCUAUCCCGGUCAAGACGAAGCGGACCGCCGUGGGAAGAAACCGGCGGUGGAGACUAGAGACGACCCUGCGCCGGCGGCCGCCCCUUCCUCGAAAAAGAGAAAAUUAGGUACUGCGAUGGGAGGACUUGGGGUGUCUGACAGUUUUGCUAGAGAGUUGAUGAGGACGUGUGCGGCCCCGGGGGAAAGGAUGUCUUCGCCCGAGCUCCGGGAGUCUUCAGCUCGGAUGCUGAGGGUUACCGGGGGCUGCUGGCCUAGAAAUGUUCCUAUCCCCUGCGCGGCUGAGGAGGACUGUUUUACAUCUCGUAUGGUUCAUCGGUGGAGAGUUUUUCCUUACGGGCGAAAUAUCGGUGCUGUUGUGUGGGCAGUGAUGGACAAGGAUCGCCAAGGUGCGGCGCAAAAACGCUAGGCGACUGUCAGGCUGCAUGAAGCUAGGCCGAAGAGGCAGCGGGGGGCUCCAAAGGCUGCGGCCUCCGGCGGAGGCAAGCCGCCGCUGGCGGCGAAGGCGGGCGCCUCUGCACCUAGCAAGGCGCCGGAGGCAACGGCGGGCGCUGGAGGCUCCAAGUCAACGAAGGUGGUGCCGCCGGCCAGCGGAGUGGCGGAGGCCUCGAAGGCGGCCCGAGCGUUGCCGUUGUCGGGCAAGCGCGUUGCCGACUUCGGCACCGAUAUUACUGUAGACGACUAUCUUGGUGAUAAGUCUUUGGCCUAUUAUUAUUAUUAUAUAUAUAUAUAUAUUUUUUUAAUUCGAAGAUGCGUUGCAGGGUCGGACGAGGGGCAGCUUGCUAUGGUUGCGCCUGGUGCGGAGACCGCGACGGCGGCCAUAGUGCCGAGGGCGAGGGGCGAGGCCCUUGGCGCCGGAGGCGAGGUGUCGGCCCUCGCGGUGGUUAGGGACGAGGCGAGCGCAGCGACCCGCCGGCUGAAGGGAGUGACGGAGGCGCUGAGUCAGGCGACGGAGGCGCUGAGUCAGGUCCGCUGAGUUAUACUCUCUCCCUCACCUCUUUCUUUUGGGGCAACGGCCUUACGUGUGCUCUGCAGGUGGCUGACUUCGCCAGCCGUACUGCAUCGGGGGCCCUCACGGCAGCUGUGUCCGCCGAAGUCGAGAGACUUCGGACACAACAUGCUGAUGUUGUCCGUGAGAAAUCGGCCUCCGACAGCAAGUGCCGUAAGCUGACGGACAGGGUGGCCGCCCUGGAGAGGGAGAAGGCCGACCUCCGGUGCCAACUGGCGGCGGAGAGGAGGGAGGCAAACGAGGCCAUCGCCAAGGAGCAGGCUGCGCAGGCGGAGGCCAAACUGGCGCGGGCGGAGGGCAAUCUUGCCAAGGAGCUCGCCGAACAUCUGCAGGAGCGGCUUACCGCCCUGGAGAGCCGCGCGAAGGGGGCCGAAGCCGCGAUGCGUGCGGAGGCUGAACGGACGCGCGCUCAGCUUACGGAUACAUAUCGCGAGCUGGGCGCGCGGACCGGCGACUUCGAGGUGCCGGACCGAGAGCCCGGGCUCCGCUGUCUGCAAUGGGUGCAGGAGGAGCUGCAGGAACUCCCCACUGUUGUGGGGGGGUUGAUGUCGUACGCCUCCCUGGUCACCUGCGAGGGGGCGAUGAACGCACUCUCCCGCGAAGGGUGCCGACACUUCGAGGUCUUCGACCAGGCAGAUGAAGAUUUUGAGCGAGAUGUCUAUAAGGUCGAAGACCCUGUUGUGAAGGAAUCUGCCGGGGCCCUCUACGACCGGAUGUGGGGUCUGCAUGGUUGUGAGGUGGUCAGGGAGCGGGCCGAGACUGCGAGGGCUCAGGUAACGUUGUUGUUUGCUUGGCGUUUGCUGUAUGCGGGCUGUGCGUGUGUUUGCUGAAUUUGUGUGUCUUGUCCUAGGCGGAGCGCGGCGAGCGGGUGGACGACUUCGGGGCUCUGAACAGCGCGCUGCCAGACCCGGAGCCGACCCUUGCGGAGGCUGUGACUGGGGUUGCUCUGGAGCCAACCCUGGAGACCGCAGCGAUCACGACGGCUGCCUCCACAUCCGCUGCGGCCGGCGAAGACCUGCCCCCGAAGGUGGCCGAAGGCGCCCCUGAUGCCCCCGCAGCUGCUGUGCCGAGUGCUGAAGAUCCCGCGGUGGUGGCGGCGGAAACAACGGCGGAGGCUGCGGCGGGACCAACGGCGGAGCCAACGGCGGAGGCUCCCGCAGCGUCAGGGCCUUCGCAGGUGGCGUAGUGGUUGUUUAGGGUUGGGGAAUUUUUGGAUGCUGUGCUGAAUUUUGGUUGCUGCGCAGGUUCAAGAUUUUGGGCCUGCGCACGCAACCGCUAUUACUGAGUUUUUGGCGGCUUCGACCGCGGAAGGUGGGAAUGAAUAUGGUGGGUUUGCAUCUGAGUUUUUUGAUUUUACCGACUCCGGGAGCUCGGUUGAGUGGACUGAGGAGUCGUCGGAGGACUUGGAUUAUUUUGCGGCCUUGGACGUGGCUGCGGCGGAGGCUUCGCCACACGCCGCGGACGCGCCAGACGUGCCAGGCCCUAGCACCGGGCGCCGCCGACGAAGGGGUGGUUGCAAAACAUAGGGUUAGCGCGGAGGAGGGGGCUCGGCUUCGUGUGAGCAGGGCUGGUCGUCAGGAACUGUUGUCUUUGCCGGCCGCUGUGAGUACAGGGGAAAGGGAACUGCGAAGUUUUUUGCGGGUGAGGAGCUUAGGAUAAUGUUAUUUAAUUAUAGAGAGAUGGGAAUUAUUCCUAAGGUUGAGCCGAUGUAGAGUGUGGUGCCCUCGCUUGUAUAUGUGUAGAGGUUUGUACGAUGAAGUUGUGUGCCCUCGCGUGCCUGUGCCUGCGAGGACGUUGUGUGCCUUUGUCUGGUAUGGUUGGUUAUGCUGUGCUGUUGUGAUUAUAGUCGUUCUUAGCACGGAUGGUUUGAUGCUAUCGUUUCUGCUUUUGUUGUACUAGUUCGGCUGCGCCCUUAGGCGGCUUCUGCGCGGAGUCUUUGCGAUAGACUUCGGGUUUUUUCGCGCUUGUUGUGCUAGUCCGGCUGCACCCUUAGGCGACUUCUGCGCGGAUAGUCUUCGCGAUAGACAUCGGAUUUUUUCGCACUUGUUGUGCUUAGUCCGGCUGCACCCUUAGGCGACUUCUGCGCGGAUAGUCUUCGCGAUAGACAUCGGAUUUUUUCGCACUUGUUGUGCUUAGUCCGGCUGCACCCUUAGGCGACUUCUGCGCGGAUAGUCUUCGCGAUAGACAUCGGAUUUUUUCGCACUUGUUGUGCUUAGUCCGACUGCACCCUUAGGCGACUUCUGCGCGGAUAGUCUUCGCGAUAGACAUCGGAUUUUUUCGCACUUGUUGUGCUUAGUCCGGCUGCACCCUUAGGCGACUUCUGCGCGGAUAGUCUUCGCGAUAGACAUCGGAUUUUUUCGCACUUGUUGUGCUUAGUCCGGCUGCACCCUUAGGCGACUUCUGCGCGGAUUUGUCGCACGCGAGGGUGGCUAGCGCUUAGCCUCGCGGUGACUUCGAAUUGGUCGAAUGCUGAAGACCGUUGUCGCGGUCUUUUUUCGACACAUGUUUUUGCGGGGGAUUUUUCUCACAUAUAUUACAUGGCUCCGCCUCGUUAAAAACCUCACCCCCCGGGAGGAAAAGAGUGCAGGCCGGUACAAGAUUGUUUGCGGCGAAUUACAAGGGCGAAAUCAGCCCUAAAUGGGUCAAACAAAAAAUUUGCGAAGGUUGUCGAUGUUCCAGGAGUGCUCCAGGUCCUCGCCAUUUGGCGUUGUGAGCCUGUAAGCGCUGGGGGAAGCUUUUGACUUGACUAUGAAGGGGCCCUCCCACUUGGGCUCCAACUUGCCCUUGGACUCCGUCCGAGCUGUUCGGACGAGUACGAGGUCCCCCUCGCUGAACUCCCUCGGGAUGACUGCGUGGUCGUGCCAUGCUUUGGUCUGGGCUUGGUAUUUGUUUAGGGCCUGUAGGGCGAAGACCCGGUCUCCGUCAAUGAGAUCUUUUGAAGUUGGCUCGUCCACGUCGGGGACGGCUGACGGAACUGUACGCAGGGACCCAUGCUUUAUUUCUUGUGGGGUCAUUGCCUCCGAUCCGUAUAGAAGGCGGAAAGGAGUGAACCCGGUCGCCCUGCACUCAGUUGUGUUUAGUGCCCAGACUGCCUCCGGUAAUAAAUCGGUCCAUCUGCCUUUUUUUUCAUCGAGGAGCAUCUUUUUGACAGCUGUGAAUAUUUUCCCAUUGGCACGCUCCACGACCCCGUUGGACUGCGGAUGAUAGACUGAAGCGAAGGCAAGCUUGGUGCCGAUGGAGAAACAAAAAUCCUUGAAAUCUUGGCUGUCGAACUGCUUGCCGUUGUCAACUGUUAGCUCGGACGGUACUCCGAAGCGGCAAACGAUGUUCUGCCAGAAGAAUUUUUGGGCAGUCUUUGAUGUGAUUGUGGAAACAGCCCUCGCUUCAAUCCAUUUGGUGAAGUAUUCGACGGCUACGAAGGAGAACUUAAGGUUCCCCUGAGCGGUGGGCAGGGGCCCGACGAUGUCCAGGCCCCAGCGCUGGAGAGGCCAUGUAUGGGCAAUCAGCUUUGUAUAUUGCGAGGGGUUGCCUGACCGAGGAGAGAACUUCUGGCAGGCUUCGCAGGACCUUGUGACCCGAUUUGCGGCGCAGAUCAUUGCGGGCCAGUAAAACCCUUGUCGGAUCACUUUGGCAGCCAGGGCCCUUGGCCCUGCGUGCGAGCCGCACGUGCCACUGUGGACUUCGCGUAGGAUCUGCAUGCCUUCGGUUUCGGUGACGCAUUUAAGCAUUGGCUGACUGACCCCUUUCUUGUAUAAUUGGCCCUCAAUCAGUGCGAAGUCCCGGCUUCGAUGUCUAAGGCGCUUUGCCUCACUGACGUCAGUUGGAUGAUAGUACCCCUGUAGGAACAGGGUUAUUGGUGCCCGCCAAUCUUCGGUCAUGAUUAGGUUGACUAUACGGUGGCCCUCGCUAUCAUUAGUUAUUUGGAGCCCUUCGGGGCUCCGGACGGCAGGCGUGCCGAUGGUGUGAAAGAACACGUCGGAGGGCAAGGGCUCGCCCCUGGCGGCAGCCUUGGCCAAUGCGUCGGCCUCCUCGUUCUUGGCCCUAUCCACAUGCUGCAAGGUGAAUCCCUUGAACUGUCUCUCGAGACUUCGGAUAGCCACGAGGUAUUGCAUGAGCGCGGGGUCCUUUGCUGCAUAGUCUUUCUCGAUCUGGCCGGCAACUAUCUUGGAGUCUGUCUUGAUGAUACAUGUGGUGACUCCGAGGGCCCUUAGCUUGCGGAGGCCGAGGAUAACCGCUUCAUACUCUGCGAUGUUGUUUGUGCAUCUGUCGGAUUCCAGAGCGAAGCUGAGGCGUGCUGCAUAUCUGUGUUUGACUCCGGUUGGUGAGGUGACGAUUGCAGCGACGCCUGCCCCCGCAUGGCACCAUGCGCCGUCGCAAUGGAUGGUCCAGACCUUUUCUGUGGACGGGUCCGGCUGUGCUACUGGCCCAGUCUAGUCGACGACGAAGUCUGCCAGGACUUGCGACUUGAUGGCUGUCCUAGGCUCGAAGCUGAUGUGGUAGCCGGAGAGUUCGACUGCCCACUUGGCAAUCCUCACCGAUGCCUCCGGGUUUCUGAAUAGUUCGCCGAGCCCCCUGUCAGAGGUGACUCGGACCUUGAAUGCUUCAAAGUAAUGGCGCAGUUUGCGCGAGGACAUGACAACUGCGUAGGCGAUCUUCUCCAGCUCUGUCAUGUUGCAUUUGGACGGUGUCAGGACUUUGGAGACAUAGUAAAUAGGGCACUGUCUGACUGUGCCUUCAACAGUCUGCUCCUGCACUAGUGCCGCGCUGACCGCGUGCGGCGAAGCCGCGACAUAGAGCAAUAGGGGGAGCGAGGAGUCGGGGCUUGUGAGGAUGGCCAGCUCCGAUAAGUACUGUUUUAAUGAGGCGAAGGCCGCUGCUUGCUCCGGCCCCCAAGCGAAGCCUUUCGCACUGCGAAGUGUUUUGAGGAAGGGGAGACUUCGCUCGGCGGACCUGGAGAUGAAUCUGUUGAGAGCGGCCAAUCUGCCUGUCAGACACUGGACGUCCCUGACGGACUGCGGAGGCGACAUGUCGACGAUGGCCUGGAUCUUGGUUGGGUUGGCCUCGAUGCCGCGGUGUGACCCUAGGUAACCCAAUAUCUUGCCUUGGCGAACACCGAAAACACACUUUUCCGGGUUCAGGCGGAGUCGUGCAUCUCGCAUGUUCGCGAAUGUCUCGGCGAGGUGGUCCUCCUUAUUCUUGCUGGCGACGACGAUGUCGUCCACAUAUGUAAAUAUGUUUCUACCGACCUGCCCUUCGAGUACUGUUUUGGUGAGUCUGGAGAAGGUGGACCCCGCAUUCUUGAGUCCCUCCGGCAUCCUGAUGAAGCAAUAAGUGCCGAAGGGUGUUAUAAAGCUGGUGCUAGCCUUGUCUUCCUCCUUCAUGUAUAUCUGGUGAUAGCCGGAGAAGCAGUCGAGGAGUGACAUGACCUCGCAUCCGGCUGCGCUAUCGACUAUUUUGUCGAUCCGCGACAACGGGAAAUUGUCCUUCGGGCAGGCCUUAUUGAGACUGGUGAAGUCUAUGCACACUCGCCAUUUCCCGCUUUUUUUCUGCACCAUUACGACAUUGGAGAGCCACGUGGGGUAAGCCACUGGCUCGAUGAAUUUAGCUUCUAGGAGGAGGUGCACUUCCGCCUUGGCGGCCUCUGUCUUUUCGUCGGACAUUUUGCGGAGCCUUUGCUUUUUUGGUCGCACCGAAGGGUCAAUUCCCAAGCUGUGCUCAAUUAUGGAUCGGCUGACUCCGACCAGGUCUAGGGCGGACCAGGCGAAGACAUCUUUAUUCUUGGCCAGGCAGCAGAGAAGCUUCUCUUCUUCAUGUGACGUAAGGUCUUCGCUGAUAGUGACUGUCUGCUUGGGCGUGGCCUGAUCAAGGGGAACAGUCUUGGUUCCGUCUUGGCUCUGCAACUGUGCCUUCUCGUGCUGCUUGUCGGUUGGGCUGGCGGGCGCAGGGACCUCGCGCUGGGUCGUGACUCGUGAGACAGUGUACGUUCCUCUGACCAGGCACGAAGUCCCGCUCUAUGUUGCGCGCCGUCUGCUGGUUGCUGUAGAUCGUGAUAACGCCUAGCGGACCUGGUAUCUUCAUACAUAGGUACAGUCCGUGGAUGGCAGCUUCGAACUUAUUGAUGGAGCCCCGGCCCAUGAUGGCGUUGUACGGAUAUACCAUGUUGACAAUGUCGAAGGUUACUUGCUCACUUCGGGCAUUGGGUGCUACACCGAAGGAGAGGGGAAGCUCUAUUUUGCCGACGGGAAAGGUGCCUUUGUCGCCGAAGCCAUACAACGGAUUGUCCGAAGGCUUGAGCAGGCUGUGGCUUAUACCCAUGCGGUCGAAGGCGUGGAGGAAGAUGAUGUCCGCCUGACUGCCGUUGUCGACUAGGACUUUGUGUAGGUCCCAGCCUGCCACGCUGCAAUUGAUGACCAUAGCGUCGAUGUGGGGGGCGCUGCGCAGGUCGACGUCUCGUGCGUCGAAGGUUAGCGGUAUGUGGGACCACUUCGUCUGCACGACUGGGCCGGUGACCGCGACAUGGUUGAUGCUGCGGUAGUGGUCCCGCUUCUGCCGCUUGGUGUCGAAGUCAGUGCUGGACCCCCCUGUUAUCAUGUGAAUGACUCCGCGAUAUGGUUGAUCGGCGAAGUCUUCCUGCUUUGGGGCGUGGGGGAUGUUUUGGUGUUGCUGGUGUGGUGGUGGGGGUGGAGGAGGUACGAUUUGUACUUCCUGAUGGUGUUGGUAAGCGUGGUGCGGUGGAUGCGGGGCGGGAGCGUGGAUAUAUGGUGGAGGGGGUGGCUGGUAAUUAUGCGCGACAAUUCUGGGAUUGUCGGCUGGCUGCGCCCGCGCCAUUCUGUCUCUGGUGGCCUUCGUUUCGGGGCAGUCUUUGGUUUGGUGGGAGCAGUCUUCGCCGUGGAAAAGGCAGUAGAACCGGCGCGGCGGCUGCGCGCGCCCUCGGCCCCUGCCACGAGUUCCGUUUCCGCGGCCCUGGGGGGAUAUUCCUGGCGACGAGGGGGGUCAGCAGCAGGCUGCUGGUUGGCGAUGUUGUGCACUUGCUGUUGACUGCGGCCAUCUCGACCAGAGUCUGGUUGCGGAGUCCUCGUCCACGUGCGGCUGGACUGCGGGGCAUCUUUGGGCUUCCGCUGUGACUCAACCUUGCGCUGGUGGAGCUCUUCGGAUUUGGCAUAUUUUUCAAAGAGCUGAUAUAGCUCCUGGAGGUUCUUGGGUGGAUCUCUGAUACAGUGGCUGUAGAGGACGCCGGCCCGAAGGCCACUGAUGGCGUAGUGGAUAGCGAUCUGAUCAUCGACGGAGGGCAGCUGUGACUUGAGUGUUAAGAAUUUACGGUAAUAUUCCCGCAGAGUCUCCUUUUCCAGCUGUUUGCAAAGCGAGAGCUCGGCCAAAGCAUCGGUGUCUGGGCGGUACCCUUGGAAGUUGAGAAGGAACUUGUCCCUGAGACUUCUCCACGAAUCAAUGGACAGCGGAGGCAAUCUGGUGAACCAGGUGAGUGCUGGGCCCUCUAGGGCGAUGAUGAAAGAUUUCGCCAUUGUGGCGUCGUCCCCUCCGGCGGAUGCAACGGCGACUUGAUAACUCAUUAUGUAUUGCGCCGGAUCGGUGCUGCCGUUGUACUUGGGAUAUGCCCCUGCUCGGAAGUUAGCUGGCCAAGGCGUCACUUGCAGGUGUGGCGCCAGGGGACUUCGCUCGUCGAGGUAGUUGACCCCUUGGAAUGGCGCGCCGUGCUGGAAGGCGUAGUCAUGCUGGGGGAAACGCGGGUUCUCCGGCUGCGCCCGGUGUUGCAGGGGUGGGCCAUGCUGCAGGCCGAGGUGGCCUUCGCGCGUGUCUUCCGGUUGCGCGCGCUGUUGGAGGGGUGGCUCUUGCUGUAGACCGAGGUGGCCUUCGGGCUGCAUCAGCGCGAUCUCGCGCUCGAGGUCUUGGGCCUUCUGCUCCUCGUCGCGUAUCAUUUGCCGCACCUUGGCUAGUGCGGACACACGCCGGCGCUUGGCUUCCAGUAUCUCUUUCUGCCUCUGGAGAUUGCGGUUCUUGAGGCGCAGGGCGCGCAGCUGUAACUGUUCUUCUGUUGAGACGCCGAGGACCUCGCCGUCCUCGGUGAGAUCCGCGCCCUCCAGUGGGGCGAAGCCUGGGGCGGCUGCGAUUGUCCUUCGGGCCCGCAGGUGCGGAAGGUGUCGUCUUCGCAGGUGCGGGGAAUGUUGUCUUCAGUGGGCUCUUGGUGGGUGGAUUGGGUGAGGGCGAGGGCCUUGCCCUUUCUUGCGGCCAGCAGUGCUGCCUUCGCAGCCUCGUCAGCCUUCGGGUUAGCUCUCUUGGGUGCCAUCGCGGGUGGUUUUGUCAUAGCACGAACGGUGGGCGCCAAAUGUUGGAACUUGCUCUCAGCAGCAAGGAGGCCAACAAGGGUGAACGGUGGUGACAACAGGGUUACGUGCUCGGGGGCAAUAGCUCUGUUGAUCUAGCCUCUCACGGGCACUGUGCGGGGGUAUUUAUAGGUAUCUGAGUGCCCAGCGCCUUGUGUUAAGGACGCAUGUGCCCUCAGACACCUAGUUUAUCCCCAGAAUAUUCCCAUAAAGCAGGGUUACAAGCUGUAAUUACAAGAAUGCCUUUACAAACUAGGCCCGUAACACAAAGGCGGCCACGCGGGGCCCGUUACAAUGGGCCAGAUCACACGUGGGCCUCAGAGCAGGACGAGGCCGCGCUGCGGGGAGACGUCACCGCAGGCCUUCGUCUGGUGCUGAAUGAAGCGAAGGGUGUCCCUGCCCGUUUUGUCUCUGUCAGACCAGCGACUGCAGCGAAAGGCGACGAGCGAAGGGUGGCAUCUUUGCCUUCGCCCCAACACAUGGAGAAGAGAAAAAGUAGCGAGUCCACGCGUGGUCAAGAGUCUGCCCUGUGGGGUCCACAAGCCAGCGUCUGGUGGCGGAGGAACGAACUGAGUUGGCGCGCGGGAGAGCCUGCCCCACGGCCCCACCUGUCGGCGCAAGACCCCCGCCGAUGGGCCACACGGAGGUAAUGUGAUAUGGACCGCAUUGUGUAAAAUUGGCCCAGGUAGGUUUUCCCUCCUUUUUAUUUUAUUUUCUGUUUUAAUUCCUUUUUGUUUUCUUUUUACUUUCAAACCUACAAUUUUGAAUUCCAAUUCCUCCUCAAAAUUUGUACUAAAUUCAAAUAUUCAAAUUGAACACUUUAGUGGAAUGAGUUUGGUCAUGGAUUUAUUUUUUUGUGUUCUAUAAUAUUUCUACCUUCUAUUUUCUAAAUUCUAAAGUUUCUUUUAGAUUUUAAAUUCCACUUUGAACUUUAAUAUAUUUCUUGUCACAUUAUUAUUUUAUAUUGUCACCAUAUGCACACAAAAGGAAAUCUCAGCAUGAUGCAUGAUUUAGUAACAUAUCUUUUAUUAAUUAUUUGUUUUACAUAUGGUGUUUAUAUGUGAUGGUAUGUAGAUAUAACACACACACAUAAAUAAAGGAAACAAAAUUUCUCCUUUAAUAUUACCUCUUACAAAAUGGGUAUUACAAAUCCUACCCCCCUUAAAAGAAUCUCGUCCUCGAGAUUUAGGAAGGACUAGGGAAAAGAUGGGGAAAAUCUAUGCGAAGCUCUUCUUCUCUCUCCCAAGUAGCUUCAUCUUCUCCAUGAUGACUCCAUUGUACUUUGCACAUCUUUAUAACCUUAUUUCUUGUAACUCGAGUCAAAGUGUCAAGAAUCUUGAUAGGAUACUCCGUGUUAGUCAAAUCACCCUGAACACUGAGUUCCUCCAUUGGUAGUUGUUCCUCAGGGACCCGGAGACACUUCUUAAGUUGAGACACGUGGAAUACAUUAUGCACAUCCGAUAGAUUAUCAGGUAGCUCGAGUUGACAUGCCAUCUCCCCAACUCGCCUAAAGAUUCUGAAUGGUCCAAUAAAGCAAGGGGACAAUUUGCCUUUAACUUUGAAUCUCCUCAUUCCAUGAAGUGGGGACACCUUGAGGUACACAUGAUCACCUUCCACAAAUUCCAGUGGUCUUCUUCUAUUAUCAGCGUAGCUCUUUUGCCUGGUCUGAGCUACCCUCAAAUUCUCCCAUAUUAUACGGACUUGUUCUUCUGCCUCUUGAAUAAGUUCAGGCCCAAAGAAUUGUAUUUCUCUAGUCUGAUCCCAGUAUAGAGGAGUCCAGCACUUUCUGCCAUACAAAGCCUCGAAUGGUGACAUCUUUAGGCUGGCCUGAUAACUAUUAUUUUAUGAGAACUCAGCAUAUGGUAGACUUUUAUCCCGACUUCCUCCAUGCUGAAGAGCACAAGCUCUCAACAUAUCCUCAAGUACUUGAUUAGUCCUUUUAGUCUGUCCAUCAGUCUGAGGGUGAUAGUGAAAGUCGCCUAGAGGGAGGGUGGAUAGGCGGAAUCUGAAAUUUACAAACUUAAACACACUACAAGCUAGGGUUAGCGUUAGAAUUAAAUCUGAGUCCAAAAGAGAGGAAAAACAAAUCAACCAAGAAAUAAAGCGGAUGAACACGGUGAUUUGUUUUAUUGAGGUUCAGUUCCAAAGAACCUAGUCCCUGUUGAGGUGGUCACAAAGACCAGGUCUCUUUCAACCAUUUCCCUCUCUCAAACGGUCACUUAGACCGAGUGAGCUUUCUCCUUAAUCAAAUGGGUCACUUAGACCCCGUAAGGACCACCACGCACUUGGUGUCUCUUGCUUUGAUUACAAGUCACUUGAGAAUAAGAAUGGGAGAAGAAGAAAGCAUGAUUACAAACGCCAAGCGACAAGAGCGACAAAUAACACACGGAUCACACACUCUCUCUCAAGUCACUAAUCACUAAUGAUCAGUUGUCUCAAUUGUGGAACUUGGAGAGAUUGGAAGCUUUGAUUGUGUCUUGGAAUGGAUUGCUAGCUCUUGUAUUGAAUGUGAAAGAUUGGAGUGCUUGGGUGUUGUGAAUGGAGGUGGUUGGGGUUGUAUUUAUAACCCCCAACCACUUCCUAGCUGUUGCCCCUUUUUUGCCGACCGCGGACGGUCCGCACCCCUGGUCCGGACGGUCCGCCCCUACACAUCAAUGGCUGAAAUUGCAACGGUCAGCGGUAACGGCUAUAUCAACAGCUAAUUUGUAUUUAAUGUGUCAUCAGAUGUUAGAUAAAGGCAGUCACAGACGGUCCGAUCGUGCACCCCAGACGGUCUGCGGGGACGCUAUAAUUCAUUUUACCGAACCCGUCACCUUUGGGUUUUUCGGUUUUGUGCUGACCCGAUGGUCCGUGCCUGAGGCCGGACGGUCCGUGCUUGGUCUCGAACGGUGCUCACUUCUCCAUCGGACGGUCCGUAGUGUAGAUUUGCGUUUAUGCAAUGUUCCUGUCCGAGGCUCACUUUGGUGUCGCGGACGGUCCGCCGUAAGGGCCCGGACGGUCCACACUUAGUCUGUUUUUCCAAAAAGCUUCUCCUGUCUGGAAUAAUCUACGGUAUUCCGGACAGUCUAUUUAGAAUAGUUGUAGAUGAACUUAUGCACCUGUGGAAUGAUCAACUAGACAAACUGGUUAGUCCACAAGGUUUGUGAUGGUCGUCAAACACCAAAAUCGAUUAUAGGAAAUAUUGAGACUAUUUCCCUUUCAAUCUCCCCCUUUUUGGUGAUUGAUGCCAACACAAACCAAAGCAAAUAUAAAGUGUAGAAAUGUAACUAGUUUGCAUUUUGAUAGAUGUGCAUAAGUUAUUUUGAAAUGAAAACAUUUCUAAGUAUAUAAGUUUGAUUUGAUAUUUAACAUUUUGGACCACAUUUGCACCACUUGUUUUGUUUUUGCAAAGCAUUUUUAAGAUUUGAAAUUUCUCCCCCUGUUUCAAAUACUUUUCCUUUGACUAAAUAAAACUUCCCCAGAAUGAAAUACUCCUCUUAGUUUUCAAGAGAGUUUUAAUAGAUACCAAUUGGAAAUAUAUUGAGAUGCUAGUUUUGAAAAAACUUAUACCAAUUGAAAAUAUUAUACCAAUUUGAAGUAUAACAAUAACAAGAUACCAAUUGAAAACAUUAUUUAAAAUUUUGAAAGUUUUAGGUGGUGAUGCGAUCCUUUUGCUUUGGGCUUAAUAUUUCUCCCCCUUUGGCAUUAAUCGCCAAAAACGGAGACUUUCGAGAGCCCUUUUUACUUUCUCCUCCAUUGUUAAAUAAAAUAUGAGUGAAGAUUAUACCAAUCGAAGAGUGGUGUGGAGUGACGGCGAAGGGUAUUUGAUACCGAUAGAGUGGAGUGGAAGCCUUGUCGUCGCCGAAGACUCCAUUUCCCUUUCAAUCUAUGACUUAGUAGAAAUACACUUGAAUACACAUUAGUCAUAGCCUUGGUACAUAAAUAAUACGAAAUUUGCAUUUGUACCAAAAUGAAAGAGAUAUGAUCAAAGGUAUAUAAAUGAGCUAUGUGUGCAAUGUUUCAAUCAAAAUUUCGAGAAUCAAGAAUAUUGAGCUCAUUCCUAAGUUUGGUAAAGGUUUUCUCAUCUAAUGGUUUGGUAAAGAUAUCGACUAAUUGUUCUUUGGUGCUAACAUAAGCUAUCUCGAUAUCCCCCUUUUGUUGGUGAUCCCUCAAAAAGUGAUACCGAAUGGCUAUGUGCUUAGUGCGACUGUGUUCAACGGGAUUAUCCGCCAUGCAGAUUGCACUCUCAUUGUCACAUAGGAGAGGGACUUUGCUCAAUUUGUAGCCAUAGUUCCUGAGGGUUUGCCUCAUCCAAAGUAAAUGCGCGCAACAAUGGCCUGCAGUAAUAUACUCGGCUUCGGCGGUAGAAAGAGCUACUGAGUUUUGUUUCUUUGAAGCCCAAGACACCAGAGAUCUUCCCAAAAACUGACAAGUCCCUGAUGUGCUCUUCCUAUCAAUUUUACACCCUGCCCAAUCAGCAUCUGAAUACCCUAUUAAAUCAAAAGUGGAUCCCUUAGGGUACCAAAGUCCAAACUUAGGAGUGUAAACUAAAUAUCUCAUGAUUCUUUUCACGGCCCUAAGGUGAACUUCCUUAGGAUCGGCUUGGAACCAUGCACACAAGCAUACGGAAAGCAUAAUAUCCGGUCGAGAUGCACAUAAAUAAAGUAAAGAUCCUAUCAUCGACCGGUAUACCUUUUGAUUAUGGAUUUACCUCCCGUGUCGAGGUCGAGAUGCCCAUUGGUUCCCAUGGGUGUCUUUAUGGGCUUGGCAUCCUUCAUUCCAAACUUGGUAAGUAUGUCUUGUAUGUACUUUGUUUGGCUGAUGAAGGUGCCUUCCUGGAGUUGCUUGACUUGAAAUCCUAGGAAAUACUUCAACUCCCCCAUCAUAGACAUCUCGAAUUUUUGAAUCAUGAUCCUACUAAACUCUUCACAAGUAGACUUGUUAGUAGACCCAAAUAUGAUAUAAUCAACAUAAAUUUGGCAUACAAACAAAUCUUUUGCAAUGGUUUUAGUAAAGAGAGUAGGAUCUGCUUUUCCAACUUUGAAGCCAUUAGUGAUAAGAAAAUCUCGCAGGCAUUCAUACCAUGCUCUUGGGGCUUGCUUGAGCCCAUAAAGCGCCUUUGAGAGUUUAUAAACAUGGUUAGGGUACUCACUAUCUUCAAAGCCGAGAGGUUGCUCAACAUAGACCACUUCCUUGAUUGGUUCAUUGAGGAAGGCACUUUUCACAUCCAUUUGAUAAAGCUUAAAGCCAUGGUAAGUAGCAUAGGCAAGUAAUAUGUGAAUUGACUCAAGCCUAGCUACGGGUGCAUAGGUUUCACCGAAAUCCAAACCUUCAACUUGUGAAUAUCCUUUGGCUACAAGUCGGGCUUUGUUCCUUGUCACCACACCAUGCUCAUCUUGCUUGCGGAAUACCCACUUGGUUCCUACAACAUUUUGAUUAGGACGUGGAACUAAAUGCCAUACCUCAUUCCUCGUGAAGUUGUUGAGUUCCUCUUGCAUUGCCAACACCCAAUCCGAGUCUCUUAAUGCAUCCUCCACCCCGUAUGGCUCAAUAAAGGACACAAAAGAGUAAGAGUAAUGUUCACAAAAAUGAGCGACUCGAGAUCGAGUAGUUACCCCCUUAUGAAUAUCACCGAGAAUGGAGUUCAUGGGGUGAUCUCUUUGAAUCGCUUGGUGGACUCUUGGGUGUGGCGGUCUUUGACCCUGAUCAUCUUCCUUGCCUUGAUCAACUUCAUCUCCCCCUUGAUCGUUGUCCUCCUCUUGAGGUGGCUCAUCCUCUUGAUCUUCAUCUUCAUUGUCUUGAGCCUGAUCCUCAUCUUGAGUUGGUGGAGAUGCUUGAUUGGAAGAUGAUGGUUGAUCUUGUGCUUGUGUGGGCUCUUCGGAUUCCUUAGGACACACAUCCCCAACGGACAUGUUCCUUAGCGCGACACACGGAGCUUCUUCAUCAUCUAGCUCAUCAAGAUCAACUUGCUCUAUUUGAGAGCCAUUAGUCUCAUCAAACACAAUGUCACAAGAAACCUCAACUAAUCCAGUGGAUUUGUUGAAGACUUUAUAUGCCCUUGUGUUUGAAUCAUAACCAAGUAAAACGCCUUCUACAACCUUAGGAGCAAACUUAGAUUUUCUACCUCUUUUAAUAAGAAUAAAACAUUUGCUACCUAAGACUCUAAAAUAUGAAAUAUUAGGCUUUUUACCACUGAGAAGUUCAUAAGAUGUCUUCUUGAGGAUUCAGUGAAGGUAGAGCCGGUUGAUGGAGUAGCAGGCGGUGUUAAUCGCCUCAGCCCAAAACCGGUCCGGAGUCUUGUACUCAUCAAGUAUGGUUCUUGCCAUGUCCAAUAGAGUUCUAUUCUUCCUCUCCACUACACCAUUUUGUUGAGGUGUGUAGGGAGAAGAGAACUCAUGCUUGAUGCCCUCUUCCUCAAGAAAGCCUUCAAUUUGAGAGUUCUUGAACUCCGUCCCAUUAUCGCUUCUUAUUUUCUUGAUCCUCAAUCCGAACUCAUUUUGAGCCUAUCUCAAGAAUCCCUUUAAAGUCUCUUGGGUUUGAGAUUUUUCCUGUAAAAAGAAUACCCAAGUGAAGCGAGAAUAAUCAUCCACAAUUACAAGAUAAUACUUACUCCCGUCGAUGCUUAUGUAAGCAAUCGGGCCGAAUAAAUCCAUGUGGAGUAGCUCAAGCGGCCUGUCGGUUGUCAUGAUGUUCUUGUGUGGAUGAUAGGAGCCAACUUGCUUUCCUGCUUGACAUGCGCUACAAACCCUGUCUUUCUCAAAAUGAACAUUGGUUAGUCCCAAAAUGUGUUCUCCCUUUAGAAGCUUGUGAAGAUUCUUCAUCCCAACAUGGGCUAGUCGGUGAUGCUAGAGCCAACCCAUAUUAGUCUUAGCAAUUAAGCAAGUAUCGAGUUCAGCUCUAUUAAAAUCAACUAAGUAUAGCUGACCCUCAAGUACUCCCUUAAAUGUUACUGAAUCAUCACUUCUUCUAAAGACAGUAACACCUAUAUCCGUAAAAAGACAAUUGUAACCCAUUUUGCAUAAUUGAGAUACAGAAAGCAAAUUGUAAUCUAAAGAAUCUACAAGAAAAACAUUGGAAAUACAAUGGUCGGGUGAUAUAGCAAUUUUACCAAGCCCUUUGACCAAACCUUGAUUUCCAUCCCCGAAUGUGAUAGCUCGUUGGGGAUCAUCGUUUUUCUCGUAAGAGGAGAACAUUCUCUUCUCCUCUGUCAUGUGGUUUGUGCAUCCGCUAUCAAUUAUCCAACUUGAUCCCCAGGAUGCAUAAACCUGCAAAACAGUUUUAGGCCUUGUUCUUAGGUACCCAAACAGUCUUGGGUCCUUUCACGUUAGAAACAAGCACCUUGGGUACCCAAACACAAGUCUUUGACCCCUUGUGUUUGCCCCCAGCAUAUUUGGCAACUACUUUGCCCGAUUUGUUUGUUAAAACAUAGGAAGCAUCAAAAGUCUUAAAUGAAAUGUUAUGAUCAUUUGAUGCAGUAGGAGAUUUCCUUUUAGGCAUUUUAACAUGGGUAGAAUGCCUAGAGCUAGAUACCUCAUUCUUAUACAUAUAAGCAUGGUGAGAAACAGAAUGAGACUUCCUAGCAUGAAUUCUCCUAAUCUUGUGCUCAGGAUAACCAGCAGGAUAUAAAAUGUAACCCUCGUUAUCCUGAGCCAUGGGAGCCUUGCCCUUUACAAAGUUAGAAAAUUUCUUAGGUGCAUUAAGCUUGACAUUGCUUCCCAGUUAGAAACCAAUGCCAUCCUUAAUGCAGGGCGUCUCCCACUAUAGAGGAUGCUUGUAGCAAAUUUGAAUUUUUCAUUUUCAAUUUCAUGCUCAUUAAUUUUAGUAGUUAGUUGAGCUAUGUGAGCUUUUUGUUGUUUAAUUAAAGCUAGGUGAUCAUGAAUAGCAUCAACAUUAAUGUCUCUACAUCUAGUACAAGUAGUAACAUGAUCAACACUAGAUGUAGAGGGUUUGCAAGAUCUUAAUUCCUCUAUCUUAGCAUAUAAAGUAGCAUUCUUAUUUCUAAGACAGGAAAUAGAAUUAUUGCAAACAUUUAAAUCCUUAGCCUUAGCAAUUAAUUUAUCAUUCUCAAUCUUAAGGCUAGAAAUAGAUUUAUUCAAUUUAUCAAUCUUAGCAAUUAAACAGUCAUUUUCAUUUCUAAGACUGAUAAUUGAAUCAUCACAAUCAUUUAAUUUCUCAACCUUAGCAUUAAUACUAGCAUUCUCAGUUCUACGGUUAGAGAUAGGGUCAUGGCAAAUGCUAAGCUCCUUAGUCAAAUUUUCAUUUUUCUCUAUUUCCUGAGCAUAAGCAUUUUUUACUUUAACAUGCCUUUUGUUUUCCUUAAUAAGGAAUUCCUCUUGGCUAUCCAAGAGUUCAUCCUUCUCAUGAAUGGCACCUAUCAAUUCAUUCAAUUUUUCUUUUUGUUGCAUGUUUAAGUUGGCAAAAAGAGUGAGCAGGUUAUCUUCAUCAUCACUAGAACUAGCCUCAUCACUAGAUGUUGCAUAUUUGGUGAAGGCUCUAGAUUUUACCUUCUUCUUUUUGUCGUCCUUUGCCAUGAGGCACUUGUGGCCGACGUUGGGGAAGAGAAGGCCUUUGUUGACGGCGAUGUUGGCGGCAUCCUCGUCGGAGGAGGAGUCGGUGGAGCUCUCGUCGGAGUCCCAUUCCCGACACACGUGGGCAUCGCCGCCCUUCUUGUAGUACUUCUUCUUUUCCUUCCUCUUUCCCUUCUUGUCGUCGCCCCUGUCACUAUCACUUGAUAUAGGACAUUUAGCUAUAAAGUGACCGGGCUUACGACACUUGUAGCACACCUUCUUGGAGCGGGGUUUGUAAUCCUUCCCCCUCCUUUGCUUGAGGAUUUGGCGGAAGCUCCUAAUGAUGUGCGCCAUUUCCUCGUUGUCGAGCUUGGAGGCGUCGAUGGGGAGCCUACUUGAUGUAGACUCUUCUUUCUUCUCCUCCGUCGCUUUGAAUGCGGUGGGUUGCACCUCGGGUGUGGAGGUGCCGCCUUGCUCGACAAUUUGUUUGGAGCCUUUGAUCAUCAACUCAAAGCUCACAAACUUCCCUAUAACCUCUUCGGGAGACAUUAGCUUAUAUCUAGGAUCACCACGUAUUAAUUGAACUUGAGUAGGAUUACGAAAUAUGAGUGAUCUAAGAAUAACCUUGACCAUUUCAUGGUCAUCCCAUUUUGUGCUCCCGAGGUUGUGCACUUGGUUGACCAAGGUUUUAAGCCAGUUGUACAUCGCUUGUGGCUCUUCUCCUUGGUUGAGGAUGAAUCGACCGAGCUCCCCCUCGAUCGUCUCCCGCUUGGUGAUCUUGGUCACCUCAUCUCCUUCGUGCGCUAUUUUGAGGACGUCCCAAAUUUCUUUGGCCGUCUUUAACCCUUGCACCUUAUUAUACUCCUCUCGACACAAGGAGGUGAGGAGUAUAGUUGUGGCUUGGGAGUUAAAGUGCCGAAUUUGGUCGGCCUCGUCCGAAUCGUAGUCCUUGUCCCCUACCUUCGGUACUUGCGCUCCAUACUCAACAAUAUCACAUAUGCUUUUGUGGAGUGAGGUUAGAUGAUGUCUCAUUUUAUCACUCCACAUACAAUAAUCCUCACCAUCAAAAAUGGUGGUUUGCCUAAAGGAACGGAGAGUAAUGGAGUGCAUUUAGAAAUGUGAGGAUAGUGGAGGGGCAUCUUACUAUACUUCUUGCGCUCAUGGCGCUUAGAAGUGACGGACGCCGAUUCGGAGCCAGAGGUGGAGGGUGACGAAGAGUCGGUCUCGUAGUAGACCACUUUCUUCAUCUUCUUCUUCUUGUCACCUUUCCAUUGUGACUUGAUGGAGGAAGAAGAUUCCUCCUUGUGCUUGUGGCCGGACUCCCUCGAAUGGGUUCUCCCCGAGCUUGCGGACUUGUCGCCGCCGAUCACGAUCUCCCUCUUGGUGUGAUCUCCCGACAUCACUUCAAGUGGUUAGACUCUAAUGAAGUAUCGGGCUUUGAUACCAAUUGAAGUCGCCUAGAGGGGGGGGGUGGAUAGGCGGAAUCUGAAAUUUACAAACUUAAACACGCUACAAGCCGGGGUUAGUGUUAGAAUUAAAUUCGAGUCUGAAAGAGAGGGAAAACAAAUCAAUCAAGAAAUAAAGAGGAUGAACACGGUGAUUUGUUUUACCAAGGUUCGGUUCCAAAGAACCUAGUUCCCGUUGAGGUGGUCAUAAAGACUGGGUCUCUUUCAACCCUUUCCCUCUCUCAAACGGUCACUUAGACCGAGUGAGCUUUCUCCUUAAUCAAAUGGGUCACUUAGACCCCGCAAGGACCACCACACACUUGGUGUCUCUUGCUUUGAUUACAAGUCACUUGAGAAUAAGAAUGGGAGAAGAAGAAAGCACGAUUGCAAACACCAAGCGACAAGAGCGACAAAUACCACAUGGAUCACUCUCUCUCUCUCAAGUCACUAAUCACUAAUGAUCACUUGUCUCAAUUGUGGAACUUGGAGAGAUUGGAAGCUUUGAUUGUGUCUUGGAAUGGAUUGCUAGCUCUUGUAUUGAAUGUGAAAGAUUGGAGUGCUUAGGUGUUGUGAAUGGAGGUGGUUGGGGUUGUAUUUAUAACCCCCAACCACUUCCUAGCCGUUGCCCCUUUUCUGCCGACCGCGGACGGUCCGCGCCCCUGGUCCGGACGGUCCGCCCCUGCACAUCAACGACUGAAAUCGCAACGGUCAGCAGUAACGGCUAUAUCAACAGCUACUUUGCAUUUAAUGUGUCGUCAGAUGUCAGAUAAAGGCAGUCGCGGACGGUUCGGUCGUGCAGCCCGGACGGUCUGCGAGGACGCUAUAAUUCAUUUUACCGAACCCGUCACCUUCGGGUUUUUUUGGUUCUGUGCUGACCGGACGGUCCGCACCUGAGGCUGGACGGUCCGCGCUUGGUCUCGGAUGUUGCUCGCUUCUCAAUCGGACGGUUCGUAGUGUAGACUUGCGUUUAUGCAGUGUUCCUGUCUGAGGCUCACUUUGGUGUCGCGGACGGUCCGCUGCAAGGGCCCGGAUGGUCCGCGCUUAGUCUAUUUUUCCAAAAAGCUUCUCCUGUCCGGAAUAAUCUACGGUAUUCCAGACAAUCGAUUUAGAAUAGUUGUAGAUGAACUUAUGCACCUGUGGAAUGAUCAACUAGACAAUUUGGUUAGUCCAUAAGGUUUGUGAUGGUCGUCAAAUACCAAAAUCGAUUAUAGGAAAUAUUGAGACUAUUUCCCUUUUAGAUAGGCUGUACUAAAGUUCAACUUCGUAUUCAUAUUCUCAUGAAAGCUUCUCCAAAAUCUUGAGGUAAACUAUGAACCUCGAUCAGACACGAUCUUCUUCGGUACUCCACGUAAACACAAAAUCCGAGCCAUAUAUAACUCUGCCAGCUGAGAGCCUUUAUAAGUAGUCUUGACCGUAAUGAAAUGAGCCACUUUGGUCAGUCUAUCCACAAUCACCCAUAUAGAAUCAUAUCCUUUCGGGGUGCGAGGCAAUCCAGUAAUGAAAUCCAUACCAAUCUCUUCCCACUUCCACUCGGGUAUCUUAAGCGGGUGCAAUAGUCCCGCUGGCCUCUGAUGUUCAGCUUUGACUCUUUGACACACAUCACAUAUAGCCACAUGUGCGGCCACAUCUCUCUUCAACCCAUACCACCAGUAUUUCUGCUUCAAAUCCUGAUACAUCUUGGUGCUACCAGGGUGGAUAGAGUAAUCAGAAUCAUGGGCUUCCUUCAAUAUAGUCUCACGAAGACUAUCAAUCUCAGGAACACAUAUCAUGUCCUUGAACCAUAUGGUGCCUUGCUCAUCCUCCAUGAAUUCUAGGCCUCUACCUUCCGUAAUAAGAUCUUUGAUCUCUUGAAUUUUGGCAUCACCAAUCUGACCUUUACGGAUUUCUUGCUCCAAGGUAGGUUCCACAUUAAUAGUGACUCCUUCAGUGUGUGUAACAAUUCCCAGGUUGAGUCUCCUGAAAUCUUCAACAAUCUCCUCGGGUAGCUGGGCAACAAUAGCGGAAUGAACGUGUUCCUUUCGACUCAAGGCAUCUACAACCAAAUUUGCCUUGCCCGGGUGAUAGUGAAUCUCUAAAUCACAAUCCUUUAUGAGCUCCAACCAUCGGUGUUGCCUAAGGUUGAGAUCCUUCUAAGUGAAUAUGUACUUCAAACUCUUAUGAUCCAUGUACACUUGGCACUUGGUUCCCAUGAUAUAAUGUCUCCAUAUCUUAAGUGUGUGCACUACGACUGCCAGUUCUAAGUCAUGAGUGGGAUAGUUCAACUCAUGUUUCUGCAACUGAUGAGACCCGUAGGCAAUCACGUGACCUUCUUGAAUAAGUACACAUCCCAAGCCUUGGCCACAUGUAUCACAAUAAAUGUCAAAUCCCUUCUGUAGAUCUGGCAUAACCAACACUGGGGAUGACAUCAAUCUCAUCUUUAGUUGAUUAAAACUAUCUUGACAUUUUGGGUCCCACUUGAACUCUCUUCCCUUCUCCAGAAGUGAGGUUAUGGGCUUAGCAAUCUUAGAAAAUCCUUCAAUAAAUCAUCGAUAAUAUCCUACAAGUCCCAAGAAACUCUGGACUUCAGUAACUGUACUGGGUAUGUUCUACGCCACUAUCUCCUUGACUUUAGCAGGAUCCACUGAUAUCCCACCAUUAGAAAUGAUAUGUCUAAGGAAUGGCACCUCGUCAAUCCAGAUCUCGCUUUUGCUAUACUUGGCAUAGAGUUGAUUAUCUCGUAGCUUCUGUAGCACCAAUCUCAGAUGUUCUUCAUGAUCACUAUCACUCUUGGAAUAAAUAAGAAUAUCAUCGAUGAAUACCACGACGAAUCUGUCCAGAUACUCCAUAAACACCUUAUUCAUCAGAUUCAUAAAAUAGGCCGGUGCAUUAGUUAGUCUAAAUGACAUAACCGUGAACUCAUAUAAACCAUAUCGGAUCGAGAAAGCCGUUUUGGGAAUAUCGGAUGGCCUAAUCUUCAUUUGAUGGUGACCCGAUCGGAGAUCAAUCUUCGAGAAUACCCUAGCACCUCUCAUCUAAUCAAAUAAAUCUUCAAUGCAGGGUAGCGGAUAGUUGUUCUCCAUAGUAACAUCAUUAAGGUAUCUAUAAUCCACACACAUCCUUUGUGAUCCAUCCUUCUUCUGUACAAACAGAACCAGCGCUCCCCAAGGUGAGGAACUCGGACGAAUGUACCCAGCCUCUUGCAACUCCGUUAACUGCUUCUUAAGUUCUUUUAACUCUUCUACAGACAUCAUGUAUGGCCGUUUAGAAAUAGGAGCAGUCCCAGGUAAGAGAUCAAUGACAAACUCAACUUCCCUAUCUGGUGGCAUCCCUGGUAACUCUUCUGGAAAGACAUCCGGAAAAUCCAUAACCACACGGAUGUUGUUUCCAACAAACUCCACAUCUAUGAAGAAUGCCGCACGUCUAGUCGAGGUAGUUACUAUAAUUUCAACGUCAAAUCUUUCUCCUUUAGGGUUGGUGAGUUCUACUGUACCCCUACCACAAUGUAUAAUGGUCGUUGCCUUUCUUAACCAUGACAUACCAAGGAUUAGAUCUAUGUUGCUUGCCUCUAAUAUUAUAGCUGUAGCCCCGAAUUCUCUUCCCAUAAUUAUCAAUGUCAAUUUAUGUGUCAUAUCAUCAUAUGAUUUGCCUCAACAGGCCCUUUGGGUGUAAUUACUAUCAUUGGUGUUUUCAUAAUUUUCAGUGGUAACUCAUUUGUGUUGGCAUAUCGAGCAGACAUAAAUGAAUGUGUAGCACCAGAAUCAAAUAAUAUUGUUGCAGGAAUUGCAUUAAUGUAAAACAUACCAAGUGUGAUGUCAUCCCCAUCAGGAGUAGCAUCAGCGCUUAUUACUUGAUUAACCCUGGCAAUAGAGAAUCCCUUGCCAGAUCCCGGAGUCUGCUGCUUGUUCUGAACUGGGGUAGUAGCAAUCCUCUGUGGGCAAACGUUUGCAUAAUGUCCAGUCUUCCCACACUUGUAGCAAGUAGUGCCUGCACUAUGUCCUGAGAAUUUCGUUGGGGUGCCAGUGGGGGUAGCCUGACGAGUCGGUGGAGUCCCCUGAGGUGAGUGCUGAGCUGGGCGCUGGCCUCCUCCAGUGUGAACUGGUGUACCCUGGGGUGAACCGUAGCGAGGACGAACACUGCUGUUUCCCUGACCCUGGGAUAUAGCCUUCCUCUUCAAAUCUCCCAGCUGAACACGUUUGUGUUCAAUAGCUAGGGGCUAGGGCCUUGUCAAGCAGCCUCUGGAAUGACGGAAAGGUGUGAGCCACUAGAGCAUACUGUAGAGGUCCAUUAAGUCCUUCAAUAAAGUGCUCCUGCUUCCUCUCAUCUUCAACAACUUCAUCCGGUGCAUAUCUGGAGACCUGAAUGAACUUAUCACGGUACUCGCUGACUGACAUGCUCCCCUGCUUCAGCGAUAGAAAUUCUUUCUUCUUAAUCUUCAUCAGUCUAGCUGGUAUAUGAUAGUUCCUAAACUGCGUAGCGAACUCCACCCAUGUGAUAGUAUUAGCAGCAUCGUGGGAAGUAGUGUAUGAAUCCCACCAAUCAGCAGCAGGACCUGUCAGACGACCAGAAUCAUAUAGAACCUUUUCUCGGUUAGAGCACUGGGCAAUAAUCAACAUCUUUUCCACAGACUUCAGCCAAUCAUCAGCGUCUAGUGGAUCAGGAGAACUGGUGAAUGUCGGUGGCUUGUGGCUCAUGAACUCCCGGUGCUUGUCCCGGGGUGGAACUGGUGGUGAUGGUGGUGGCAGUGGUGCUUGCUGCUGUUGCUGUUGCUGUUGCGCCCUUCUCUCCUGGUGUAUCUCCUCUCGCUCCUGGUGUAUAUCCUCUCGCUCUUGGCGCAUCUCCUGGCGUUCCUGCCACAUCCGCGCGUGCAUAUCCGCCAUGGUGUCAGCCAUCUAUUGCAUUAUCCUCAUUUGUGCUGCAACAACUGGGUCAGCUCCGGCUGGUGGAGGCUGUGGAGGAUCCAUCUCAGGUUGUUGUUGUUGUGGUUGUCUAAAUAUCCUCCGAGUGUGUCGAUUGGGAGGUAGAUCAAUUCCACCACCCUUCCUGGUAUUGACCAUCUGAGUUAGAAACAUAUGGUAGAGAGAAAGGAUUGUAGACAAGGCAGGUAACUACGAGGCAUAUUACUUUGAGGGAUUUAUUAGCUAAGCAGAUUAAUGUUUUACCUACCAAAGCUAAUUCAUUACCUUAUGGUGGUACGUGCUAAGAUGUCCAUUUAUAAUAUCUCAAUCAAUCAAAGAAGCAAAUCAGGCAUUUAUAAUCAGAACAAUCAACCAACAUUUUUAAAUAGAGAAAAUAGUUUUAAUUUUGUCUUAGGUUCCUUAUCUCUUAAGAAUGUUAUAAAUGUAGGAUUCCAAGGUGUGAAAACCAUCUUGUCUUAGAGUGAAAAGAUAAGAGUAAUCAGAGUAUGAUAGCAAAAGGUGAGACGUGAUCAAGAUAAGAUAAGUAUAGAAUAAAUCAGAGUAAGAUAAGUAGGUAAGGGUUUUGUCCAUUUCUAUCUAGGUUUUGUCCUACAGUCAACAUUUCCUCUGAUACCACUUCUGUCACACCCGGAUUUAAUGAACAAAGCCGGGUGCAUCUCAUACAUGCGCCAAAGAAGACAACAUAUAUCAUAACAGAGUGUAUAGAGAUAAAUGUCACAAUAACAUCAGAGUAUUUAUCACAUAGCGGAAGUCUUACAAAAAUAAAAGAUAAAUAUAAAACGAACUAAAUCCAUCAUCGUGCCAUUAAGUCAACUAGGAGACGCCACCUAGAUCAGAUCAAACUCCUCGUUGUGUGGCUCCUCCGGAACCACCUGUUCUUCUCCAGUGGGGGGUGUGAGACAGCAAGGGUGAGCUCACACAUGAUCAUAGCUCAACAAGUUGUGUGGAAACCAGUGUGCAUGAACUCACCAAAGGUGGGAGUUCAUGUGAAGUGUAAGGCUGAUCAACAAUAGGGGUUAAAGCUGACCGUUGCUUUUAAUAAGUUGGUCAAAUUUUAUUAGCAGUUACUAAAUGUAAGUAAAUACCAAACCAUAAUAAGAAUAAUAGAACAGAAUUAAUAAAUAAUCCCAUGAAAUGCAUAUGACAAAUUGAAUUUAAGUUCCAUAAAUUAAUCAUGCGAGAGUCCUGAGCUGCUCAUGACCGCGAGCACGGCUAGUAUACCAGUUUUACACUCUACAGAGGUUGUACCCUGUACCCAUAAGUCAUGUUACCCAUCUGCCAAGGGAUCGCGACUCCAAUACACCUCUACCAAGGAAGCGAGGCAGGACAACACUACGAGGCCUUUACAAAGUUCCAAUAGCUUCCGAAAACCCGCUACAGUUUAUGGGAAGAGGACUUGCAAGAAUCCCUUGUCUGACCGCCAUCGCAGCAAAAUCAACCCAAGAACCUCCCUGCAUGCAACUCCCCUACUGCCCUUGCCCCUUUCGGGUAAGGUAGUCUUCCACUAGCUUUCCUAAUUAGUUAGCCAGGGGUCUCAUUCCUCCCUUGUGGUGGCACGUGUUUCUGAAGUUAAGCUUCAUGUUCCAAUUAACAUUAAUGAUCUUGAUAUGAACAUAAGUAAAAAAUAACAAAAUAAUUGGAACAUGGAUAUAAUGAAAUAUUAACCCAAAACCAUGUAAAGCAAUAGCAUGACUACCCAAAUGAUUCAGGGGUAAACAAGGUAAAAUGGAUAAACAGACUAGGGUGACCUAUUGGGUCCCAUCAAAAUUAAACCUAAGCAUGAAUAAUGACAUUAAAGAACAUUAUUGGGCAUAAAAGUGGUCAAGGCACAACUUGCCUUCAAUGAGCUCCUGCUCAGCAACUUCUAUCUGCUGGGCACUAGGAUCCUCAGUCACAGGCUCUUCUACUCGCCACAAUACAAACAAACACAUUAUAAAGGAGAAAUUAACACCACACCAAACAUGUAAACAAAGUAUAUAAUAAUAAUCUACACAUUAAAAUAAGAUCAUAGGAACAUGAAUCAUUAAUUUUGGAGUUAUAGUUUUUAAACUAUGAAUUUCCAAAGGUUUUAUGUGCUUGAUAUAUGAUUAAGUGAGAAAUUAAUUUUAUUACUAUUUUCUUGUCAAAACAGAGACUCUAGGUGAUAAACAAUAAUAUUAUAAAAUUUUGGAAACUGGAAUGAGUUAAUUUGAAGUUCAUAUGAAUUUUCUAUGAAUUUAGCAAGUUUCUGAAAUUGUUUUUGUCUUAAAAAUCAAUUUCCAUACUUAUUUCUCUAAUUCUUUCUGAUUUCUGGAUUGGGCGCUCAAUUCUGGGAAACACAGGGACUGAUCUACAAAUAUUUCCUAGACUCAGAACUGCAUCCACAUGGACGGUAGGUUGGUAACACAAAACCCCAUGGACUCUUACGAAAAUCUGCUAGGGCGAAAGGGUACGCGCCUAUUUCAGCCGUCUGAUCAGGGAUCGGUGGCCGGGAUUAAAUCGCGAUCUCAACAAAUGGUCUAGGGCUCUAGGCUAUGCCCACCGUGGGAUCUAAAUCGGACGCCACUGAUUUUAUGAAUCCCGAUCAAAUUCAGUCCCUCUGAUCCUUCUCCAAUGGUCUAGAUUCAAUGCCCCAAGGGUCAUAUCAGGUUCUAAUCGUGGUCGUUGGCGCUCUAUCCAACGGUCCCCGCAUGCCCUACACUUCCCGACGGCGAAGCACGGUGACGCAACAACCCCGCACGGUGGCGCCAUGGUCGGCUUAAGCGCGCCCGUCGAUUCCUACGGCCAUCCCCAAAUCCAACCCUAAGUACACGGAGAGAAGGACAUUGCGAAACGAUAGGGGGGUGUGCUCACCGAGGUUAGUGUCGACGGUGCAGUGGUACAUGACGAAGGGCGUAUUCACGGCGGCGCGACAACAACGGUGAACAAUUCGCAGGAGUUGGCGCAUGAAUCGCCCCAGGCAACUUGUUAGCCACGCACCAUAGUACCAGGCGAAUCUAGGGGAGCACCCACCAAGAGCCACAUGGCGUUGAGCUCGAGGUUCCCCUUGCGGCGGCGAUCAACGAAGCCCACGAUUUUGCCCUAACAGCUCUCUCUCUCUUGGCUGGCUCUGGUGCGUGGGGUAAAAGAUGAGGCGAAGACUCGUGGGUGUCCUAUCCCCAGGUCAAGGCGGACCUCAACAGAAACCCGGAGCUCACGGAUGGCGUGCGGCAUGCACGGAGAAGAGAAACAGUAGCGAGUCCGCGCGUGGUCAAGACUCUGCCCUGUGGGGUCCACAAGCCAGCGUCUGGUGACGGAGGAACGAACUGAGCUGGCGCGCGGGAGAGCCUGCCCCGCGGCCCCACCUGUCGGCGCAAGAUCCCCGCCGAUGGGCCACACGGAGGUAAUGUGAUAUGGGCCGGAUUGUGUAAAACUAGCCCAGGUAGGUUUUCCCUCCUUUUAUUUUAUUUUCUGUUUUAAUUCCUUUUUGUUUUCUUUUUACUUUCAAACCUAAAAUUUUGAAUUCCAAUUCCUCCUCAAAAUUUGUACUAAAUUCAAAUAUUCAAAUUGAACACUUUAGUGGAAUGAGUUUGUUCAUGGAUUUAUUUUUUUGUGUUCUAUAAUAUUUCUACCUUCUCUUUUCUAAAUUAUAUAGUUUCUUUUGGAUUUUAAAUUCCACUUUGAACUUUAAUAUAUUUCUUGUCACAUUAUUAUUUUAUAUUGUCACCAUAUGCACAUAAAAGAAAAUCUCAGCAUGUGCAUGAUAUAGUAACAUAUCUUUUAUUAAUUAUUAUUUUUACAUAUGGUGUUUAUAUGUAAUGGUAUGUAGAUAUAACACACACAUAAAUAAAGGAAACAAAUUUUCUCCUUUAAUAUUAUCUCUUACAAAUUGGGUAUUACACCCGUUGUACAAAUACAUUCAUUUUAAUGUACACCUAAUGAUUUUUUAACCUUUUUCAAUGGCAAGUCCUAGAUGAUGUAGGCUUUGCUUAUCCUGGCCAACCACAAAGUACGCAUCUCAUGUGCAAAGAGACGAUCUUCCGUCAUAGACUAUAAUAAAUAGUAAAUGGACCGAUCACCAGUUUAUUGGCUCGUUCAUUCAGGUAAGGAGGCUGUGACUUACAAGAUGUCAAAGGGAAACCAUUGUGGAAGUUCUUCGGUAAAGGGCUUUAAGCGAGUAGGGGUAGCUGAUACUACGGCAGGGAUUCGCGAAGAGCAACGCCUUACGAUGUUCAUGACCAAUUGGUCAGCAUCUAGCAAGAAAAUGGAUGCGUGUUAGCGCCGUGGCGCUUUCUAACCCUUUUAUGCCUUUGAUACCACCCUCGGUAACGCACUAAUAGACCCCGCUGUUGACUCACGUUGGAUUCAAUCGAUUGCUUUCCGCAUUUCUAGCCACGUUUCAGCCCUAUCCUUCUGUUCUUUAUGCAGUAGUUGGUUGUUU